GUGGGAGCGGGCUUGCUCGCGAAUGCGGCGUGUCAGUAUCGGAUGUGCUGACUGAUACACCGUAUUCGCGAGCAAGCCCGCUCCCAC
rnacentral:antisense_RNA from 1 species